rnacentral:lncRNA from 1 species
CACCAGCCGCUCGGCUCCUUCUGCAAACCCCUCUCCGCACCCCGCCUUUCCCCGCACCCCGGGGAGCCCCGCCCCCACAGCCCACCCAUUGGGGCGCUGCGUGUCCUCUCGACCCCUCCGAAUUGCUUAGAGGCCUGUCAAUCUCUGUUAUCCCUCCCAAUUUAUCUCCCCUGGUGCUGCCGCACUCAGUUUUCCCCGCCUACAUGGCCCCGCCUCUGAGCUCCUAAUUUCCCAGUGGGCAUCAGUGACCACCUUUAACUGGCAAGGUCAGCUAUCCAUCAAACAAAAACGCCCACUGAGUGAGGCCCAACCCUUUAUUACCAUUGACUUCAUUCAGCCCCGCCUCCGCUCUGCAACUAACCUCCGGACGUCAGGACCAACCCACCACGCCAGCCUAAAUGAGCGCCUAUUUGUCAGGCAUUGCAUGUGGAGCCAGAGAAACAAAAGUAAAUUAAUCCCGGUUCAAGAUGAGAAGUGAUCGUUGAAACAUGUGCAGGGGAUGAUGAUGACGUAAAGGAUCCUCCCUGUGGAUGACAGAAAGGCUUCACAACGACACAGGAUGCUUCCGGAAUAAAGUAUAGUAAUUCAGUAGGUAGAUGAAGGAAGUGGGCAUGAUUCCUCUGGAAAUUGGACUAGACUGGGAGGUGCUGUCUGGUUAAUUCACCCGAAAAUAAAAAGCGUAAUAGAGGCGUUUAACAUUUACCUUAGGAUAUAUAUAUAAAUUUAUACAUAUUUAUAUAUUUUUCUAAU